rnacentral:sRNA from 1 species
AGCAGUACUGCUAACUCUGAUAUAUCUGAUAUAGGUAAAAUUGAGGGUAUUUUAGAUAAUUAAGUAUGUUUACAGACUUACUUUAAUAAACUUUUUAUAUAAGUAACUUUAUUAUUUAAGUUAUAUUAAGUCAUUUUCUAAAACAUUUAAUAAAAUGUCCCGAAUUGUUUAUCUUUGUUUGUCAAGCAAUAUUAAGUGCAUACACACAGUAGAAUGUCAUGUGGACCAGACAUGCAUGUCCUCAGAGAUUUUCAACAAUUUAGUUUAGUUUUAAGUUUAAAGUACAAUUUUUUACAGCCUUGCAUUGACAUCUUCUGGGGAAGUUUGUGAUGGCAGAAAGCCCCGUAACUAUGUAUAAGAAAGAAGCUUCCUCAUUUCCUAAUAUAUAUGCCAUCUCACCACAUGCUCAAUUCUAUAGCUUAGCAUACAGCUCUGGAUAGUCUUUAAGUUAAUAUUAGUAUAGAUUCAUUGUUCUAUUCACCAAGUAAAAAAGAUAUUUUUCUAGAUUAAAUAUGUGAUGAAAAUCCAACACUUUAUAAUUUUAAAUAAAAUGCAAACCCCAUUUUUAAAAAAGAUUACUUUGGUCCUACUACUUGUGUGUUGUCAUAUUAUUUUUCAAAUGUAUGCACUGAGAUAACUUACCUAGUUUACUUUUCAUAAGCAAUUUAAACAUAUGUAUGAAAUACAAUUUUAAAACCACACAUAUAUUAGGAUACAUGGUAAUGAGUUCUUUAAAAAGCCAUAUUUUACAUUCAUUGUUCUACAUUAAUGAAUGACUUCAAGAAAGAGGCUUUCUAUUCACAAAGUACUGUAAAGCAAGACACACAGGUAUAUCGUGCCAUUAACUAUAACUCAACUAACUGGUUAUAGUUUGAAAAACAUUUACUUUCAUUAAUGCUAUAAACAUAUUUUGUUGAAAUUCAUUAUGUUAAGGAAAGUACUAGGGAUGCAAUCUCUUUGAAAUUAAAAGCAUGUAAGUAUGUAAUAUGAUUUUUAGAGUGAAUAUUGUGUUUCUUAGCACUGGAAAUAAGUUACUUAAAGGUUUAAUCAUGACAGUACAAAUUGUGUAAAAUUAUAUAAAUAGUCUCAAAAUAAUUUAAAAGGAUGGUAUCUGUAAUUUCAAGCUCUGCCAAUCUCCCAGAAUCAUGUUUUUCUAUGAUAUUAUUUUAAAAAAGCAAUGCAUCGUAUUAUCAGUAAAAUGUAAGGUUUCUCUUCCUGACAAAGUUUUCUUUUAGCAAAAGGGUACUGCGAGCACAUCUUUCCUGGUCAAAGUGUGAAUUAGUUCCUUUUCCAGUAUGUGCUGACAGUAGCAGCCACUGUGACUGUGUAUUGGUCCUGUUGUCUGGGAUGAUUUCAUGUGUUUUAGGUGUUGAUUGGAGCAUGUUUCAUUGUCUGAGCGAGCUUUUCAUUUGCUUCCAAGGGAAACUGAAUCAUGCUUCAAGAAUAGCACGAAAAGACUAUUAAGACAAGUAAGAUUACAUCUGGCUUAUAAAACUGGCAUUGGUCACAUUCUGUAUGCCAGUCCUACUUACAUUACUAGUUUACUCUUUGCCUUGGCAUUUAGUUUAUUAGGAUAUUUUACAUCCCAUAGUUUCCUUAUACUCAAUUACACUUGCUAUUCAUGAUUAGUAAAAUGAAUUAAGACAAAUAGACAAAAGAUAAAGUUAGUGAAUAUGACAGGAAGCUGCAGACAAAAUAAAAGGUUCAAUGGAUGGACUUUCAUAGGAUCAUGAAGUAUGUUAGCUAACAGAAACAAACAAGAGAAGAAUUAUCAAGAGAAACGUGUGUGUAUCUUAGUAAACAUACUUCACAUAAACUUGAUUCAAUUAUAUGAGAACAGAUUCUCAAAGGCAGAAACUUACCCUAGGACUAUGAAACAAGUAGACAGGUCAAGGACUGCCCAAACUGUAAUUUGUUGUAACUGGUAUUUAGAUCAUGCCAUGAGAUGCAAUAAUACAGGCUGCUCACAUGUGGGGAACUGGGGCUUACAUUGCAAACUAGACAAGAGUAGGCCUUAGUGAAGAUAAUGCAUCUGAUGUCCUAUCAAAAGCCUGUUCACACGUCCAACCUCAAGAAGGAAACAUUCCCUAUCAGUCAGUGGCUCACACAACCAUUUUCUUUCUCUGUCUUAUUUUAAACACACUGUGAAUACUUGGUGAGCAAAAUGGAGGCUCUAACAGAGAAGUCCGAAGACAGGUCAAGCCUGAUCUAUCUGUACACAUUGAUUGUUAAGCGGCUGAACACUGAGUAUCUAUAGGAAUCAAGGAAAAAUGAUACUAGAACCCGGCUUAGUUCAAACGUUGAUUCAUCUCUUAUUUCAAGUAAUGAAGCGUUCUUCAGCAAUUCUGUCUCCGUAUAAAUUCAUGGACAUUUGAAGAGCUGACCCAAAGCCAAAACAGGGGAACAUUUCACAUCUUAAGGACCCAUGGAAGUAUCCUAAGAACAAAGGCACAGUUGCUUUAAGAAAGCCAAGUUCCCAAAGCACAGCACAAUGCUUCUCGUGUUGAAGAGGCUGUCGCUUGAUUCUACUUAAGAGUGCCAGUCUGUAUUUCAGCAAUCUGGAAAGCUUUGAAAGCCUGGAUCUCCCUGGAUCUCCCUCGCAAAACUAACCAACUUUUGUAGCAGAAUGGACUACUCUAAGGAAGUGUCUUCCGAAGUAGAUGUACUUUCCUAACAACUGCCUAUGAAAAGCUACAUCAAUGGCCUUUGAGCGCUGGGCAUGGAGGAAGCACUGUGUUAUAAGCUGACUUGUGGGGGUGACAGUCCCAAAUAGGCAACUAUGUCUUCAUGGACCUUUUGGUGGUGUAUGCAUUUAUCAGCUUUUUAGCUUCCACUUGGUUAUCUUUAUGUGAUACGUCCUGUGGUUUUAUUUCCAUAUCAACUCGUCCAUUUCAGAAAAUAGCUUCCUUACUUCAGCCAUUUUUUCUCUCAGUCUUUCCAAAUAUAAACUCAGAUGCUUUCCCACAAUGGCUAAAGUUGUUUACUGUUAUAUUUUUAUAUUCAGAGAGGUAAUAAUAAUUGAUUCUUAAAAUGUAUUCAUUGUUACAGAGAUAAACCGAAUAAAAUGUUCAAUUAAUGGUAUUUCAUGAAUCCUUAUUUGCAGUCAUUACUUAAUACGUUAUGUGUGAUUUGUUAAACUCAAUGACUAGUCAUGGAUUAUGGAUCCAUAUGGAGAAGACCCAGACAUGACUGACACAGUGAAGCCUAUUCUACAAAGUAAUUGGCCCGAUGCUCACAGGAAGUUAAACAUCCUUUCUAGUCUUGGGAAAGGCUUUACAAAGACUGUGCAUAAAAUUAUUUAAGAAGUAUUGUCUGUCUCAAUCCCUGGAAAGACACCAUGUUAUCAACACAGAAUUGAGGCAAUGAGUGAACAAAAGUGGCAAAGUUAGCUGAGGAACAAUUCAAAAGAAUGGACAUCAUAAAGCUUAAUCCAAUUUGUCUUCACAUUUUGACGAAAGACUGCCUUACAUUUAUGUGUCACACAGUAGGAAGCAUUGCAUCAUAUAGUAUGACUAAAGAAAUUAUGAAGCAAUGAUUAUCCAUCUCUAUUACAUAUUUAUUACAUAAACUCACAUAAUGUAAUCAGUCUUUGAAGAAUCCAAAAUAUAUAGGUAAUAGUUUUUGUAUCCUGGGACAGUGGGUUAAGAGCCAGGGCAUCCAUGUUAGAAGAGUUAACCAAAAAGAAACUCAAAAUGGUUUGCAUAAUCAGGAAAAGUUUAGAUGAAUGAUGUGUUAACCAUGGUGAGGACCACUCAGAGCGGAGAUGUUGUGAAGACUCCAGGAUCUGGGUCAAAAGAGAUGAAGAGCUAACAGAAUAAAAGACUAAAUUCACCACAUGGAUGAAACACAUCGAAUGUGGCAUCCAACAGAAAACAGAUAUGAUUACAUGCGUAACUACUUCCUGCAUGCACAAUAAUCAGAAAAAGAGGAAUGGGUAACAAAGAAUAGUUUUUUAUUUCAUAUAUAUACCUAUAUAAUCAUAUCAUAAAAUCAGUUCUUACAUGGGAUUUGACUCUUUAAAAUCAUAUGUAAUUACAUUGUUAAUUAAGCACAAAAUUUUCUCUGAGACUUUAUUUUAGUUUAAAAAAUGUUUGUUAUCUCACAUGGUAAGUUAACUUUUCCACUGUCACUGGAUAUAAGCACUCCAUUGUUUGUUUUAGUUUUACUUUUAAAUUUUCUUCAAGGGAACCAUACAUUAAAAUUUCAUCAGCUGGCAGCAAUAAUUGCAUGCAGUUUGCUUUGCAUUCUUCACAAUGCCCUUAGCAGUAGAUUCUAUUAUAAAACUUCUUGUAAACAGUGAAGAGACUAAAUCACAGAGAUGUUUGUCAUCAUGAGCAGGAUUGCAGGAGUUUAGAGCUUUAGUUUCUAACUUGGGAAUGGGAAAAAAGAAAUAUUUUUGCCAUAUUACAGAAUAAAAUGUUUAGUUUUCCUCAGUAAUAGUUCUAUAGCAUUGUGUCUGAUUAUAUAAUUAUGGAUUUAGAAAUAGAUUUUAAUUGAAAUUUGGGUGCAAGCUAUUAAGUUAUUCUAACAUUCAAUAGAACCUAUAAUAAUCUAUUGCUAACAUAAACAAAAGAGACUACAUCCCACUGCUAAAGAUAUACUGAAUUAUUUUAAGAAACCAUGUGUUUUAUACUUAGCAAUGAAUGAGAUUUUCUUCUAAAAUGAACUUAGUGCAUAUUACAAUUCAUAACUCUACUGGGAUAUGUUUGAAAAUGUAUCUUUUCCAGUAUUACUAGGUAUGGGAGAUUUUAAAUUACCCAACAGAGCAAGAACAUGCUCUUUAGAGAAGCAAAUGUUUGCCAGUAUAUUGAACUUUACCCUGUUGUUCAAAAGAAUCAAUUCAUAUUAAUGUUGAAGAAACUUUUC